AAAAAUGGCUUUCUAUGACUUAUCUGCAAUCAGAUACAGGAUGGAGUUCAAAGACAAAUCACAGUGAGAAAAUACAAUGUGAUCCAACUCUAUGCUUAUAUCCAGUUGCCCUAAUACAAUGCAUUCCAACCCUAUGCUCUAUCUGCUGCUUAUAGAUGAACCAGUUAGUGCGUAGAAGUUAUCUCGUAUCUUGAAAUGCAUAAAUACAUAAUUAUGAUCAUGACACCGCAACAAAAUUGUGCAUAAGCAAAAACAAAAAUAAAAACAAGCUACUUAUAGUAAAUGCAUCCGCUCUACAUAAGAUUGGAGCAACCACCUGCUAAGAGGCUCCCCACACCCAACGAAACACCCAGAAUUGCCAUUUUCAUUGACAAAGGGAAAGCUGAAAAUAUGCAGCAAUUCUUGCACAGCCUGCCGCACUAAAGAAGAUCCUGUCACCCUGCUUCUCCGGCCCCAUCCAGUCACUAUAUCAAUACGACUGGGACAAAUCCCUGAGACUAGCAUCUGACGACGAAACCAAGCAAGUGUCCUAGACAAUGCUGUCACAGCAGUACCAUCAGACAUAACAUGCAAGUUAAUAAGCCAAUAGCAAGAACUCUUCUCUUUGACAGCAUCAGGAUAUACAUUCUUCUGUGAAGCAGCCUCCCAAACUGAGCCAGCCUCCUCCUUGAGCCCUGACUUGUGAAGGAAAUCAACCACCGCAUCGAUGAGUCCCCUUUUGCUCUCUCUAUCUUCACUAUGCAUCAGAUCCAAGAACUUGCUCGCAUGAUCACGCACAUUUUGACCAUCAGGUCCAGCUGAUGGCAAAGAUAACAGGAACAAAUGUGCAGGAUGGCCCGUGACUGCCAUGAGUUCACAAUAAAUUCCCAUGUCGUGUGGUGAGUGUGCCUCUGUACAACAACUUAGAAGCAAUGUAUAAGUCUGCAAAGAAGGGUUUAAACCCAAAUUCAACAUGCUCUGCAGCAAGUUAUAAGCAUCUGCAAGCCUGUGCACACGUAAGAAUGCACUCAGAAGGGAAUUGCAAGUGGGCACAUUUGGGCGCAAGCCAGUAUGGAGCAUGGUCUGAUACCAUUCCCAAGCCUUUUCAACAUUCCCAGCCUUUCCCCACAAGUCUACCAGAAGGCCAUAGACAGGCUCAUCAGGCACCCAAUUCUUUCUUUUCAUCUCAAAAAAAACUGCUUCUGCUUCAUGAAGAUGACCACAAUGUCCAAGAACCUCCAUAACUAUACUAUAAGUUACUUUGUCAGGUUCAAAUCCAGCAUUCUGCAUGUCACGGUAAAGCUUCAAUGCACUCCGGUAAUUCCUUGACUUGGCUUGCAAAGCAACCAUGAUAUUGUAGGUGACUAAAUUUGGAACACAUCCUUGUUCCACCAUCUCACAGAAUAGCUUGUGGGCAGCAGCUAAAUGGCCAGCCUUUCCAAGGCAGUUUAUUAUAACGCUGUAAGUGAAUGUGUCCGGUGAAAGGCCAGCGACUUGCAUCCUUUGGUACAUCUCCAUGGAAAAAUCAAGAAACCCAGCUUUAGCAUGAAUAUCAAUGAGUGUGCAGUAUGUAACACGAUCAGGUUCACACCCUGCCUUCUGCAUUUGGUUAAAUACACCAACUGCUUCAUUCAGGUAGUUUGCACGACCAUAACUGUGAAUAAGACGAUUAUAAGUUACAACAUUAGGUUGGCAUCCAUCCUUGGCCAUCUGAUCAAGAAAAUUAUUAAUUGCACCAAACUGCUUUGCACGACCAAGGAUGCCAACCAUGGUUGUGUAAGUAUGGUCAUCAUGCUUGAACCCAGGUUGCUGUUUUAACCAAUAAAAAAAGCCAAGAGCAACUGUGUGAUCUUGAAGCUGCUUUAGAACUUGGUUUGCUUGAUAUGCAUCCAUUGAAAAAUUAAGAUUUCCAAGAGCCUUCUCUGCUGCAGGACCCCACCUCAGUUGUUUCAGUAUCUGACAAACAUUUUCCACAAUGCGUCCGCUGCUUGCAAACUGUCUGGUACUUGGCACCAUUACAGCUGUCAUUUUAGCAUCCCUCGAGAGUGUUCUGUAAUCUUCACAGAAGCGCUCCCCAAUCUUUGCAUCUGGAGCCUGUACAUGGGCAUUAAAAUUUGUCAUGAACCGAUUUGAUUGACCUUUCGGUCUCUGAGGUAUAUUCCUCCUUUUAUCACAUGAACCUGAAGCUAUGCUAUGAUUUUUCACUGAACUACCAGCAGUAGUACUUGAAACAGGUUUGGAACCUGCGAUAAAACUUGAUUUUUCACCUUUAUCCUUAAAACUGUUAUAGUUACUAAUAUCAGACUGGACUACUGCCUCUGAAGAUGGUUUUGGAUAAACUUUAGAAAAGUUCUCUCUCCUGAUGGGUUUCACAUUUGAAGAUUUUAGAGUGGAAUGUGGCCUGGUGGGGUCAACCAUGCAGUUUUUAGGUGAGUUAAUUCCACUUCCAUCAGAUAUAGGAAUUUUGUAGGUUACCAAAUCAGAUAGAAAACUAAUUGUUGCAAUGCCUGCUUUCACAAACUGGUCUGAAAUUGGAGGUGAAGGGUGUGCAACAUCUUUCUCAACUGUAUCAAUGCAGUUGGCAUAGCUAACACAAACUGAUCUCCCAGAAGAGCUAGGCGCAGACACAUCUUGGGACAAAGUUGGGUGCUCAAUACUAUCAACUUUAUGACGACCCAACAAUUUUCCAGCAUCUCCCAAAACAGAGGUUUCCACACUUCCUGAAGUUUUGGGUACUACGGCGGAUGCCUUCUGUACAGGUAGAACACUGCUUCUUGUUUGCUGCUUUCUUGGAAUACAGUUUUCAUCUUCAGAGCAAGUGCAUGAACUACCAUCUGCUGCACUAGACCGUGAUCCACCAAGAAAAAAUGACCUUGCAUUACUGGAAAGGUUACUAAGCUGCUUUGCUCGUAACAUGAUUCACAAAAACACCUGAGGUGAUAAAUAAGCUUCUCGACGAGCUUAGAUAGAGAAAAGAAAAGUAGAGAUUUUUCUAAUUAGGGAUGAGGCGGGGGAGGAAGAGGGAGACAGGCAGAGGCGGCUGUCCUCUCUCUAGCAUCAACUCUUGGGGUUUUUCUCCAAGCAAGUGGGGCUGGAGAAGGAGGGCGCAUCUUU
rnacentral:misc_RNA from 1 species